UUUAGUUAACAAAUUAUCUGUUUAUUUUUUCCACUAUCAAACUCCCCAGGUUACUCAUCACAAUCAAAUGUGACUUUGGAAAGAACAGGUGAUGAUCUUGGGCCUGAAUUCUCUACUCUUGCUGAAAACUGAAGUUGUUCCUACUGUAUUGACAUAGCUGACACCCUGUCAAUCAAUUUCUUCACCUACAAUGCCAUGAAGCCACCAAGGAUAGACAAAUGUCAAAACAGCCAUUAAGGAUUGACAAACCAACAAGGAUGCUCAUCUAACAAGAUGAGAAGAAAGGAAAGGAGGAAGGAAGAAAGCAAAAGUGGAAAGAAAAGGAGGAUAGAAGAAAGGGGGAAAGAAAGAAGAAAGAAAGAAAGGGUUCUCCUUGCUGAUUCUAUUGUCUUCUCCUAGUCUACUGACUUUUUUUCUUCUCUACCCUUCAUAUUAAGUAGUUCACCAUAAUGUCUGUUUCCUCAUUGCUUUGUUUUGUCACAAUUAUUAACAACUCCAAUUCAC